GACCGCGUAGCUCAGUUGGAAGAGCAUUGGACUAGUAUUCCAAAGGUCGUAGGUUCGAAUCCUACCGUGGCCG
rnacentral:tRNA from 1 species